GAUCAUGGCUCAGGACGAACGCUGGCGGCGUGCCUAAUACAUGCAAGUAGAACGCACAGGAUGCACCGUAGUUUACUACACCGUAUUCUAAAAAAAAAAAAAAAAGUGAGUUGCGAACGGGUGAGUAACGCGUAGGUAACCUGCCUGGUAGCGGGGGGAUAACUAUUGGAAACGAUAGCUAAUACCGCAUAAGAACAUUUACUGCAUGGUAGAUGUUUAAAAGGUGCAAAUGCAUCACUACCAGAUGG
rnacentral:rRNA from 1 species